rnacentral:rRNA from 1 species
UACGACUGGUGCUAGCGUUGCUCGGACUUCCUGGGCGUAAAGCGCACGUAGGCGGACUGUUACGUCGGAUGUGAAAGCCCUCGGCUUAACCGAGGAAGUGCAUUCGAAACUGGCAGUCUUGAGUACAGAAGAGGGUCGCGGAAUUCCCGGUGUAGAGGUGAAAUUCGUAGAUAUCGGGAGGAACACCAGUGGCGAAGGCGGCGACCUGGGCUGAUACUGACGCUGAGGUGCGAAAGCGUGGGGAGCAAACAGG